rnacentral:rRNA from 1 species
ACUGGCGCAGCUACACAUGCAGUCGAGCGGUAGCACAGAGAGCUUGCUCUCGGGUGACGAGCGGCGGACGGGUGAGUAAUGUCUGGGAAACUGCCUGAUGGAGGGGGAUAACUACUGGAAACGGUAGCUAAUACCGCAUAACGUCGCAAGACCAAAGUGGGGGACCUUCGGGCCUCAUGCCAUCAGAUGUGCCCAGAUGGGAUUAGCUAGUAGGUGGGGUAACGGCUCACCUAGGCGACGAUCCCUAGCUGGUCUGAGAGGAUGACCAGCCACACUGGAACUGAGACACGGUCCAGACUCCUAGGGGGAGGGCAGCC